ACUGCUUCAUCGGAGCAUGUGAUAACGGCGGCACAUGUUUGGACGGAGACCACACCAUUUCCUGUCUGUGUCCGGCAGGGUACAAGGGAGAGAGAUGUCAAACUCCCCCUUGUAGUGAAGACUUCGACUCUCCUCAAAAUGGCGGCAAAGUGUGCACAACCUCUGACGUCACAGAUGACACUAUGACGUGUACGGUGUUCUGUGAAGGUGACAGGGAGUUUGCAGUUCGUCCAGCUGACGCCUACAUCUGUAACUCGCAAGGUAUUUGGAGCGCGGUGUUCGAAGGUUCAAAUGGUCCACAGCCACUGACGCCUGGUAGUCAACCAUGGCCAGACUGUUCAGGUGGAUGGAUAAGAUAUUUCCGUUAGAUCCGUACAGAAG